rfam:Linderina pennispora strain ATCC 12442 DL89scaffold_4, whole genome shotgun sequence.
GUCAGUGUGUCCGAGUGGUUAAGGAGACAGACUCGAAAUCUGUUGGGCUCUGCCCGCACAGGUUCAAAUCCUGUCGCUGACG